UUAGGUUAUUGGCUGACCACCGUUUCAUUUAUGAAAGGGAGGAAAGUCCGGGCAACAUACGGAAGGACAGUUGUUAACGACAACCAAAGGUAACUUUAGGGAAAGUGCCACAGAAACAAUACCGCCUUUAAUUUAUUAGAGGUAAGGGUGAAAAGAGCGAGGUAAGAGCUCGUAUUCUUUACCGGUGACGGCUAAGAAUGGUAAACCCUGUUCGUUGCAAGGAGAUGUGCAUAUAUAGGUAUCCGGCUUAGUGCAUCGAUUAACCGCUUGAUCACAUAGGCAACUAUGUGGCUAGAUAGAUGGUCAGCGAUUCGAUUUAUCGGAUUACAGAACCCGGCUUAUAGGUAACCUAACACC
rnacentral:RNase_P_RNA from 1 species